rnacentral:rRNA from 1 species
UACGUAGGGGGGCUAGCGUUGUCCGGAAUCAUUGGGCGUAAAGCGCGUGUAGGCGGUCCGGUAAGUCCGCUGUGAAAGUCGGGGGCUCAACCUCGAAUGCCGGUGGAUACUGUCGGGCUAGAGUGCGGAAGAGGCGAGUGGAAUUCCUGGUGUAGCGGUGAAAUGCGCAGAUAUCAGGAGGAACACCAAUUGCGAAGGCAGCUCGCUGGGACGUAACUGACGCUGAGACGCGAAAGCGUGGGGAGCAAACAGG